UGUGAAGACUGGCCUACUACUUACAAGGACAGGCACUCUACAAGUCCACAUGUAUGACAUGUGCUUUUUUAUUUUUUUAUUUUGAAGAUAUUAAAUAUGAUAAUUUUCAUCAUAUCAAAUUUAAUUUGGUUUGAAGACCCUGCAUUGAGACAAUUAAUGAAGGAAGCAAUGAAGGAAAAAUUCAGACAGAGGAGGUUCACACAGCUCCGAAUCAGACUUUAAUUUGAUAAACCGUUGAUUCCAGGAUUCCACCAGCAUUGAUGAGCGUCUGCCUAGCGAGCGCAUUGAUGUUCAUUGUGUCACGGAAGUGAGGUUCCAAAAGUUUAUAGAUUGGGUGAAGCACGCUGAGUUGUCUAUUUGUUGCAAUCACAAAUGGCUCACUCACAGCAUGAGUGUUCAAGAAAUGGCUAAUAAGCUGAUGGUAACCGGAGUCGUUUACAGCCACAUAAGCUUUAGCCAGCUCCCAAAUGGAGCCUUCAACACCAUGUUCAGCUGGGGUGUAGACUUUGCUAAUGGCUCCAAAUUCAUCUCCUUCUUCAUGGGGCAAGCUUAACUCAAUUACAAGAGGCUUCAAAGUCCCGUCAUCUUUCAAGAAAAGCAGAGUCCUUGAUGCAUAAGUCUUCGUGGUAGUAGUGUUUAUCCUCCUCAGGUAUGGCAUCAAUGCAUCAUGGUGAUCUAAUAUGAACAUCCUGUUCUUCUCGAUCGCCUAUUCAGAAGCAAAGUGUUUCAGCUACAACAUGUCUUUUGGGAAGAGUAAAUUCAUCAAUUACAUCCGUGAAGCGUUCACAGAUCCGAUUCUAAACAUAAAUGUCGAAGAAACCAAUCGAGAGAUAGCUUACCUCAUCUAUGGACAGUCCAUCCAGACUAUCCUUGAUGUGCUCCUCAGUUAUGGUGCUGUUUUGAUCACCAUAAAGUUUGCUGUCUAGCUUGCUUUUGGGAGGGAAUUCCUGCAAUAAUUUGUUCUUAGACACAAGAAAAACAAAAAAUAUAAAUUUUGCCGAAAGAAAAACUUGUUGCAGCUUUAGUGUACCUCAAGACGACGGAUGAUAACAGGGUUUACUCC